rnacentral:rRNA from 1 species
UACGUAGGGUGCAAGCGUUGUCCGGAAUUAUUGGGCGUAAAGAGCUCGUAGGCGGUCUGUUGCGUCGGCUGUGAAAAACCCGGGGGCUCGACUCCGGGCCUGCAGCCGAUACGGGCAGACUAGAGUUCGGCAGGGGAGACUGGAAUUCCUGGUGUAGCGGUGAAAUGCGCAGAUAUCAGGAGGAACACCGGUGGCGAAGGCGGGUCUCUGGGGCCGAUACUGACGCUGAGGAGCGAAAGCGUGGGGGAGCGAACAGGG